rnacentral:rRNA from 1 species
UACAGAGGUCCCAAGCGUUGUUCGGAUUCACUGGGCGUAAAGGGUGCGUAGGCGGUCGGAUAAGUCUUGUGUGAAAUCUUCGGGCUCAACUCGAAGUCUGCACAGGAAACUAUCUGGCUUGAGUGUGGGAGAGGUGAGUGGAAUUCCUGGUGUAGCGGUGAAAUGCGCAGAUAUCGGGAAGAACACCUAUGGCGAAGGCAGCUCUCUGGGACGGUACUGACGCUGAGACGCGAAAGCGUGGGGAGCGAACAGG